rnacentral:rRNA from 1 species
UACGGAGGGUGCGAGCGUUGUCCGGAAUCACUGGGCGUAAAGGGCGCGUAGGCGGCUCGUGCAAGCGGGCGGUGAAAGCCCGGGGCUCAACCCCGGGUCAGCCGAACGGACUGCGGAGCUGGACCAGACUAGGGGCUCGUGGAAUUCCGGGUGUAGCGGUGGAAUGCGUAGAGAUCCGGAAGAACACCGGUGGCGAAGGCGGCGAGCUGGGGUCUGUGUGACGCUGAUGCGCGACAGCGUGGGGAGCAAACAGGAUUAGAUACCCUGGUAGUCCACGCCGUAAACGAUGGGCACUAGGUGCUCGGAGGAGCGACCCUUCGAGUGCCGUCGCUAACGCAUUAAGUGCCCCGCCUGGGGAGUACGGCCGCAAGGCUGAA